CCUACGGGUGACAGCAGUGGGGAAUAUUGCGCAAUGGGCGCAAGCCUGAUGCAGCGAUGCCGCGUGUGGGAUGAAGGUCUUCGGAUUGUAAACUACUGUCAGCAGGGAAGAACGGUCACUGUGCUAUUCAGCAGCGCAUUGACGGUACCCGCAAAGGAAGCACCGGCUAACUCCGUGCCAGCAGCCGCGGUAAUACGGAGGGUGCGAGCGUUAAUCGGAAUUACUGGGCGUAAAGCGCUCGUAGGCGGUAUGUCAAGUCAAGGGUGAAAUCCCCGCGCUCAACGUGGGAACUGCCUUUGAAACUGGCAAACUGGAGUGUGUGAGAGGAUAGUAGAAUUCCAGGUGUAGGAGUGAAAUCCGUAGAGAUCUGGAGGAAUAUCAGUGGCGAAGGCGACUAUCUGGCACAUGACUGACGCUGAGGAGCGAAAGCGUGGGUAGCAAACAGGAUUAGAUACCCGAGUAGUC
rnacentral:rRNA from 1 species